rnacentral:lncRNA from 1 species
GCCCUCAGAGUCUCCUUCAGUGUCUGUGACCAGCUGUCAGAGCUCUUCCUGGGAAAUAGUGCUGCAGUGCCAAGACCUGUGCUUCUUCCCUUGUGCUAACAUGCUGAGCUUGUGGAGGGGCCAGGAAGCCCUGCCCUUGGUCCACAGUGGGUAUCGGCUGAAUGGAAAUGGAAUCUGUCAGUGCUGGGUGAAUGUGACUGUCCCUAGAGGAGAAGAAGCCAUGUACUCCUGCCAUGCUAAGCAUGGAGGCCUGAAGGAGCCCCUCAUCAUCAAGUGGGGUAAGAAUAUGGAC